rnacentral:rRNA from 1 species
CGAACGGGUGAGUAACACGUGAAUAACCUACCGAAAAGCAGGGGAUAACAUUUGGAAACAGAUGCUAAUACCGUAUAAAACGUGCUGUCGCAUGACAAAACGUUAAAAGGUCCGUUUGGACCACUUUUUGAUGGAUUCGCGGUGCAUUAGUUAGUUGGUGGGGUAAAGGCUCACCAAGACGAUGAUGCAUAGCCGAGUUGAGAGACUGACCGGCCACAUUGGGACUGAGACACGGCCCAAACUCCUACGGGAGGCUGCAGUAGGGAAUCUUCCACAAUGGGCGCAAGCCUGAUGGAGCAACGCCGCGUGUGUGAUGAAGGCUUUCGGGUCGUAAAGCACUGUUGUAUGGGAAGAACGGUAAGGGUAGGAAAUGAUCUUUACAUGACGGUACCAUACCAGAAAGGGACGGCUAAAUACGUGCCAGCAGCCGCGGUAAUACGUAUGUCCCGAGCGUUAUCCGGAUUUAUUGGGCGUAAAGCGAGCGCAGACGGUUCGAUAAGUCUGAAGUGAAAGCCCACAGCUCAACUGUGGAAGUGCUUUGGAAACUGUCGAACUUGAGUGCAGUAGAGGUAAGUGGAACUCCAUGUGUAGCGGUGGAAUGCGUAGAUAUAUGGAAGAAC